rnacentral:rRNA from 1 species
AUUGAACGCUGGCGGCAGGCCUAACACAUGCAAGUCGAACGGUAGCACAGAGAGCUUGCUCUCGGGUGACGAGUGGCGGACGGGUGAGUAAUGUCUGGGAAACUGCCCGAUGGAGGGGGAUAACUACUGGAAACGGUAGCUAAUACCGAAUAACGUCGCAAGACCAAAGUGGGGGACCUUCGGGCCUCACACCAUCGGAUGUGCCCAGAUGGGAUUAGCUAGUAGGUGGGGUAAUGGCUCACCUAGGCGACGAUCCCUAGCUGGUCUGAGAGGAUGACCAGCCACACUGGAACUGAGACACGGUCCAGACUCCUACGGGAGGCAGCAGUGGGGAAUAUUGCACAAUGGGCGCAAGCCUGAUGCAGCCAUGCCGCGUGUAUGAAGAAGGCCUUCGGGUUGUAAAGUACUUUCAGCGGGGAGGAAGGCGGUGGAGUUAAUAACUUCACCGAUUGACGUUACCCGCAGAAGAAGCACCGGCUAACUCUGUGCCAGCCGCCGCGGUAA